GACGAACGCUGGCGGCGUGCUUAACACAUGCAAGUCGAACGAAGCUGCAGGACGGAUCCCUUCGGGGUGAAGACCUGUAGACUUAGUGGCGGACGGGUGAGUAACGCGUGAGCAACCUGCCUACAAGAGGGGGGACAACAGUUGGAAACGACUGCUAAUACCGCAUAAGACCACAUUACCGCAUGGUAGAGAGGUCAAAGAUUUAUCGCUUGUAGAUGGGCUCGCGUCCCAUUAGGUAGUUGGUGAGGUAACGGCCCACCAAGCCGACGAUGGGUAGCCGACCUGAGAGGGUGAUCGGCCGACACUGGAACUGAGACACGGUCCAGACUCCUACGGGAGGCAGCAGUGGGGAAUAUUGGGCAAUGGGGGAAACCUGGACCCAGCAACGCCGCGUGAGGGAAGAAGGUCUUCGGGAUUGUAAACCUCUGUCCUUGGGGACGAAGACAGUGACGGUACCCAAGGAGGAAGCUCCGGCUAACUACGUG
rnacentral:rRNA from 1 species